GCGCCCCACCACCGACACGGUUCUCAACAAGGCCACCGAUGACCAUCUUGUGGCUACAGCACCAAUGACACUGCUGGUCAUCUCUGCCUUCCCUGACACAUUUCCUCAGCUUUUAUGACACAGAGGACCCUCUUCUGGUUUUUCUUCCCAUCGGUCUCCUUGCGGGUCUCUUCCUCAGCUCUCCCCUUGAUGUCGAGCUUCUUGGGGGUUAUGUCCUGCUUUCUCCUCUCUUCCCAUCCUACACGUUCUGCUGAUUGAUUGUUUCUCUUCCCAUGGUCUGAAGUGUUACCUGUGUCCUCUGACGACUCAAAUCUAAGCGUCUAGUCUCGUUCUUUGUCCUGCGUUCCGGGUGUGCAUAAUCCACCCCAGUGCUCCUCUCCAUGCAGUGUGUAUGGAUGCCUCAAACUCAGCAUGUCCCAAAUCGAGCCUUUUAUCCUUCAUCCAUAACCCACUCCUUGACUAUUUCCUGUCUCAAGGGAGUGCAGCCUCUCUCCACCCAGUCACCCUUGACUUCUACGUUUUCCUUGACUUCCCGCCAUCCGACCGGUCACCACGCCCUACAAAUUCUAUGUCCCGAAUGCCUCUGGAGUCUGUGCCUGUGUCCCUUUACCCACUGUGUCCCCCACACCCGGGCUACCAUCAGCUCUCACACAGGUCGCGGUGUCUGCCUCCUGGGUGGCUGUGCCAGGUAUUAGUAGUUUCCAAUCCAUUCUCCAAACGGCAGCUAGAGGAUCUUUUAAAAAUGCACAUUAUCAAGUCACUCCUCUGAUGAAAAUUUCCAGCGGGUUCCACACAUUUAGGAAGAAGUCCAAACUUCUUAAUGUUGUACGGAUUUUCAUGUCUUGGCCCUGACUGCUUGUACUCCCCUCUUCUGCCCCUGCUUGUCUGUGGCAGAUUUUUACCUUCUUCAAGGAAUAAAAUGUGGGGCUGUCUAAACCCCCCUCUGUCCGUGGUGAUUUGACCCACCGCACGCAGUGUGAGCACCUCCCGGUGCAUUCCCAGGGUCGUUGAUGGGCCCCAGGGAGGGGAGGGGUGCAGUCCGGGAAUGUCACCUUCCUUUGGAGCCUGUGGUGAGUGUUUGUGGUCGCAAGACCUCUGGAGUGUCGCCCUGAGGCUUACCAGUUUUAUGUCAUCUUAACUAAGAAAGAGGGAGGGGACGAGGGUGGUGGACGCUUCCCUGUUUAAAAGCACCAAACCCGACAAAAUUUAUGUGGACGUUGUAAUGAUUACUACGCUGAAUUAAUGAACUCUAUCCUCUCCUUUUUUUUGGCUGGAGGAACAUAACAAUCCCAAUGAAAGGAAACAGAUGUCGUUGCUUUGAGCAUUUCCAAAGGAAACUGCAGUAAAAUAUGAAGCAUCACCGUAUAAAAGCCUGCUGUGUAGCGGAGAUGUGCUGAUAUUGUUUUCAUUUGCCAGCUGUGUGUAAGUGGAGUUGGUGCCUCUGGCCAACACAGCCCCCACAUCAGAGUCAUAACAACGACAAAGUCAUGGAAACGUUCGGGGAGAAACUCAAACUGCUUCUCAGCGUGCUCGGCUUUCCUUUUAACGAAAAGCCACGUAAAAGAAAGGAAUUCACUUCCUGAGCCUUGCACAGCUUCAUGAGCCUGGCAUGCGUAUGAGAACAGAACCUAGCAAUCUGAGAAGGGAAAAUGACGGCUUGCACAACUGUGGCUUGAAACCACAACUGGUGAUUUUGUCAGCACAAGGGGCUCCUGGGACUCGGGCCCGGCGUGGCAGGGAGCUGAGACCGCUGAGGCAUUCACUCCCAGUACUUCCAGGAUGGGAUCUUAAAGAGCGGACUGAAAAAAGUGUUUUGUGGUGGCCACAUGGCCUUGAACUCUGGAUUAAAAAAGAAAGUAAAGGGAAUUUGGGAUCUGAGGAUGAGCCCAGGAUCGGAGCAUCCACAGAAGGUCUUUGUUCAGGUGAUCCUUUUCUAGAAAUGGGAUGUCCAACUGACCAGCACAGACCCGGGUUCUCUCUCCGAUCCUGUCUGCAAGAAUAUCCACAGCUCUAACGUGUUGGUGGGUGUACGUGGAAAGGAGGUUGUACAAAGACCCAGAGAGUAGAGGCUCUGAUUUGUGGUGUUCUCAAGGGCAAGCCUGCACCUUGACAGCUUCCAGGUGUUGAGAAUCAAGUUCUUCGGAGUCACCAUCUCUUGUCCUUUUCAACUAUGCAAGGCAAGUAUUAAUUUCCAUUGACUACACUUUAUACCCAAGAUGACUAAGUUACUGAGUUUCCCAUGGGCUUUGUAUAACCAGUACCUAGCACAACAGGUAUACGUUGAUUUCCAUUUAAUUUCAUUUCUCUUUACCUUCUCAAAUCUUUCAGCUUGGUAUUUCUGUGGGCACAAGGAAACACACUCUAUUCU